AAACUAAGCUCAUCACCACUGCUCAGAUGAGUCACUGACCACCCCUGUGGUGGGAUCUCCACCUUCACCCUCUACCACCACUCCCCUAAACAGCCCUUGGGAGAGGUGGCAAGUCCUGAGAAGCACCUUGCCAUGGCCCCCAGCCCCCGUGACCCAGGCACACAGUGAGGGUCAGAGGAACAGAAAGAAAGGACAAGGACAACUUUGGGUUGAGCGACCACAGGCUGGGAUGCAGGCCCGGGGCAGCCUGGAUAACUGAAGGGAGGGUGCAGGCUGGGUGCCUGGGGCUGACUGCUCGUGGCUUGGUCCACAUGAGCACCACAUUCUGCCUACAUUUUUCCUAUGAAGGUGUUUCUUCCCCCAUGGGUGUGCCUGGAUCAUCAUCAUCCCAGGACAAUAGAGAUUCUUCUGAGGAACCUUCAGGAGCUUCAUGAAAUAAGUGAGUGGUUCCAGGCUACCCUCCUGACGGCCCCACCAAAGGCCAAGGCCUGCAGCACUACAGAGCUGAGGAGCCCUCAUCUGCCCUGGCUCAGGGGCCUCUGGGAAGCAAAGCGGGGGUGAAAGACAGCGGAAACAAGACACCCACCAGAACCUAGGGCUUCCCAUGUCCUCACUACCAGCACGAGGGAACCACACAGAACCCCACAAACACGGGGGCAGGGCGGGGCCGUCACAUGCUUCCGUCAUGGUGGGGGCCCCUGCCUCUACCCUUGGUCCCACCCCAGUCGGGCCCCACGAUCCAAGGGUUCUCAGACGCCAAGUGCCUCUAAUGGGGCAUUUACUCCACACCCCAAACCUUUCUGCACCGUUGCUGUUUUUCUGUAAAUUAUUUGUACUUACUAAUUGGCAACAAAAUAUAAAAUAUCACACUUGAAAAAUGAAGUUGGUUGCUUCCUAUGAGACAGUAUCCACAGGAAAAAAGAAAAAAGCUGCAUGAAAACGUACUUGAGAAAACAUGCAGCUGGUGUGGGGGGCGGGAGAGGGGGGUCCUCUGUCCUCCCCGGUACAUUGGCUCUGCAUAAACCACGCAGCCCCUCACCUGGUUUGGUGUACCGUGGCCAGGUGCUCUUAGGGGUCGUCAGCCAUGUACACUUGGGGUACACACGCUGCCUCUGCCUUGGCCUAGGAAGAAAAGACAUGGUCACAGCUUCACCUUCACUGCUUGAUCUCUGCAGGGACUAUGGAAACAAAACUGUGGGGAAGAGAAGGGAGGGGAAGAGUGGUGGUACUUCCACCAGCGUGACCAGGACAGAAAGCAAAUGGUGUCAACAACACAACAGAAGCAUUGCCAGAAAAAAAAAAAAAAAAAAAAAAAGGAACCACUGCCAGACAAAACUAGAAACUGUAUAAUCUAAAUAACCAAACCACCAGAGAAAGAAAAAAAAAACCCAGCAAAUUUACAGUCCAGCAAAAUGGCAGGAAAUACAGAUAAAAAGGAAACAAAAAUUGAAAACUAAAAAUAAAGACCAGGAGGAAAGCAAAUGUGUAGGGACCCGGCGGACUCAAGUGAGCUGGCUUCCCUGUGGGCCAGGCUGCACAAAUGUGAUGCCAGCUGAGCAAAGAGGAUGAAGGGCAGGUCUGUCAUAAGAAACAAGACAAGGCAGAAGUGUGAAGCGAUGGCAAAGGUGGGCCAAGCAGAAGCAAACAAGUGGAGCUGGUGAGGACAGGCACAACAUCCAGCCCAAGAUAGUCCAGGUGACCCAGAGGAAUGUUUUAAAUGUGAAAAUGUUUUUCAUCAAUAUUCCAAAAGAAGACAUAAAGUCCAAAACCCUGUGUCCUGAAUAACUUAACACCAAAGAUAAAAGCAAAAACCAUUCGCAAAGAAAAAAAGUCCUCCAUCUACACGUUAGACAGCAUCUAGAACUCCUAACUCUACGACAGCUCAAAGAAGAAGAAACAGAUGGCUGGUGGAUUGAGGCACAUAGGUGCUUGGAGGGCAGUGGAACAACUUGGAGGUAAUGCAAAUGGGAAUACCUGCUGCCACGCAAUUUCACUAGAAAUGACCACACAGAUGCAGGGAGACUACAGCCAACACCUGUCCCCUAGGGUAAGCGCAUUCCCCUUGUAUACCAGGGUGUGGAAAAUGGUGCCUAGAACCUAGCCAUGCAGAACUGGGUGGUGUGACACGCCAGCAAAACUCUGUGGUGCCGGGGAACAAGAUGUGUGUGCAGAGGACCCCACACAGGUGCAGCAAGCUGUCCUGAAUGGUUAUCUUUGGCAGGCGGAGGUGUCAAAGGAGACAAUUCUCCUUCUAAAUUGCCUCAAUUUUGGGAUGCCUGGGUGGCUCAGCGGUUGGGCAUCUGCCUUGGGCUCAGGACGUGGUCCCGGAGUUCCGGGAUCUAGUCCCGCUUCGGGCUCCU